UACGUAGGGUGCAAGCGUUGUCCGGAUUUAUUGGGUUUAAAGGGUGCGUAGGUGGGUUAAUAAGUCUUGGGUGAAAGGUUAGUGCUUAACACUAAGAGUGCCUGAGAUACUGUUGAUCUUGAAUAGACUUGAGGAUGCUGGAAUUGAGUAGUGUAGCGGUGAAAUGCUUAGAUACUACCAGGAACACCGAUUGCGUAGGCAGGCAUCUGGGGUUUUAUUGACGCUGAGGCACGAAAGCGUGGGGAGCGAACAGG
rnacentral:rRNA from 1 species